UUAAUAUUUUUCAAUGUUAAGUGGCAAUUGACGACAACCACUGCUAGCAUAAAAUUAAAAUUUACCUGGAAAUUCACACUAAUUUCGUUAAAAUCCGUCAAGGAAUCCCGUUUAUAAAAUUGUAUUCGUUAGUAACAUUCAAUAAGCAUAGAGUGAGCUGUAAAAGUAAUUUGUACUGUUCGUGCAAGUAUUUAUUUAAUCACAAGUUUUAUCAAGUCUUCCACAAAAAAUAAAGGGCCAAAAUUGAAUUUUCCGCAAAUUCCGCCGUUUGACUCAUUUAUCACGUUCUGGUGGGAAGCCUCCGAAUAACCUGAAUAAUAAAUUAAGGGAGUAAACCAACAAAACAAGACUGAAUGUCCACGGGUUGUCUCCAAAACAAACGUGUGGUUAAAAAACAUCGAAAUUCUUUUUUUAAUUUUAUUGAUUUAACUAUGUUACCUUUUUAAACUUUUUACCAGCUGGGUUUACCUAAUUCUUUUGAAAUAAGUUUGUCGUUGAAGAAUUUAAACAAGUUUUAUUUUCAUGGUAAUAUUAAUGCGGGAUUUAUUCACAGCAUAUAAAAGCUGCAUAAGUUUGCGAGGACGACUCAGUGUAUUGGACAGUACGAAACCGAUCGAAAUGGUGCGUUUGGCUACAUUGUUCGUUUUAGUUUUGGCGAUCGUGUCAUGCGUUAUUGCUGCACCAGGUCGUCAACAUGGUUCAUCAGCGACGGCUCACCACGGCAGUAUCGGUGUGGGCAGCGUCAGCGGCGGCAAGUUUGGAGGCGGUGCCUUCAGUAUCGGCCACGGCGGUGGAAGCCAAGGCCACGGCAGUGGAGGACACGGAGGCAAACACAGUAGCAGUCGCUAUGGCCGUUAAUUAAAGCAACGUGUAAUGUAGAUGGUAUAGCAAAAAAACGUAGCGAGUAAAACUUGAUAUUUCAUAAACAUCUUUUAUAAACA